rnacentral:rRNA from 1 species
GACAGAGGAGGCGAGCGUUGUUCGGAAUCACUGGGCUUAAAGCGCGUGUAGGCGGCCUGGUAAGUGUCGUGUGAAAUCCCAUGGCUCAACCAUGGAACUGCACGGCAAACUGCCUGGCUUGAGGUCGGUAGAGGUGCCUGGAACUCUAGGUGGAGCGGUGAAAUGCGUAGAUAUCUAGAGGAACGCCAGAAGCGAAAGCGGGGCACUGGGCCGAUUCUGACGCUGAGACGCGAAAGCGUGGGGAGCAAACAGGAUUAGAUACCCUGGUAGUCCACGCCGUAAACGAUGCACACUAGACGUUGGGGCCUCUGACGGAACCGGCGUCGUAGCAAAAGUGCUAAGUGUGCCGCCUGGGGAGUACGGCCGCAAGGCUAAA